GACGAACGCUGGCGGCGUGCUUAACACAUGCAAGUCGAACGGAAAGGCCCUGCUUUUGUGGGGUGCUCGAGUGGCGAACGGGUGAGUAACACGUGAGUAACCUGCCCUUGACUUUGGGAUAACUUCAGGAAACUGGGGCUAAUACCGGAUAGGAGCUCCUGCUGCAUGGUGGGGGUUGGAAAGUUUCGGCGGUUGGGGAUGGACUCGCGGCUUAUCAGCUUGUUGGUGGGGUAGUGGCUUACCAAGGCUUUGACGGGUAGCCGGCCUGAGAGGGUGACCGGUCACAUUGGGACUGAGAUACGGCCCAGACUCCUACGGGAGGCAGCAGUGGGGAAUAUUGCACAAUGGGCGGAAGCCUGAUGCAGCAACGCCGCGUGCGGGAUGACGGCCUUCGGGUUGUAAACCGCUUUCGCCUGUGACGAAGCGUGAGUGGCGGUGAUGGGUAAAGAAGCACCGGCUAACUACGUG
rnacentral:rRNA from 1 species